CGGAGGUCAGACUCCGCCCAUGACCCCGGCCGCCAGGAGGACCUCUCCCGGACCUCUACAGAGGCCGGGCUCCGACCGUCGCCGAGCUUCAAUCAACAGAUCCGCGCCCCCUGGCAGAUCACAAUAACAACCAUGAUCCUGUUCCACUUCCUGUAGCGGAUCCCGCGCGGCUCCAUCACCCCCUGCGGCGGACCCAUUACUCUCUGACAGGCU
rnacentral:lncRNA from 1 species